UACGGAGGAGGCAAGCGUUAUCCGGAAUUAUUGGGCGUAAAGGGUACGUAGGCGGCUGGCCAAGUCUGGGGUCAAAGGCCACAGCUCAACUGUGGGAAGGCUCUGGAAACUGACCGGCUAGAGUGAGGUAGGGGUUGCGGGAAUUCCCGGUGUAGCGGUGAAAUGCGUAGAGAUCGGGAAGAACACCUGAGGCGGAAGCGCGCAACUGGGCCUCAACUGACGCUGAGGUACGAAAGCUAGGGGAGCGAAUGGG
rnacentral:rRNA from 1 species